GGUCGAGGGUUUUAGAGAUUAACCAACUGGUUGGAGGAGUAUGUAUAGUGAAAGUAAAUGUUCUUUGAGGUGUGACAGUAAUUUUACAAGGCACUGGGGUAUUUGGCAUCCAACCUGCCGUCCGCGCAUUAAAUUCUUUACAAAAGUCUAUGCUCUUCAACCCGCGAGCACCAAGGGCAGGUCCAAUUGGAGGCGUAGGCGUAGCUUUUCCUGCCGGUACAAUUAAUUUUAUGAUUGUCGUUCUAGUAGAAGCCAUAAGGUUAAAGAAGAAAAUACAGUUGUAAGUUGUA